AGGGGAAAACACGGUAUUAUAAGUUUGGAAUUUGGAAAAUACCAAGAAAUAGAAGUUGUAGAUAAUUGAAUUAGCUUUCCAACCAUAGGUCGUGGGUUCCCAGGUGACAUCGGUACAAGGAGAUAUGGACGUUUUAAGGUCGAAAGGUCAGUGGGCUAGGCCCAACUCGGGAUCAACCGAGUUGGCCCAAAAAAAAAAAAAACGAAUUAAGGCCCAAAGGAGAGGGGUGGCCGGCCAUCUUAUGGCCCAAGCCCACAAAAUUAAUAAAUUUCCCAUGUGAUAAUUAAUAUAAAGGAUCAUUAAAUUGUCUUGAAACAUUUAGAAGUUUCAAGACAAUUGAGAAAGAGAGAAACAAGAGAAAGAAGAGUAAGAAUAAGAAGGCCAUUUUCGGCCAAGCUCUAGACCAAAAAAAAAAAAAAUUUUUUUUUUUUUUUCAAAAAUCAUUUUCUACCAAUUAAAGGGUCCUUUACAACUUGGUGUAAUUAUUUUGGAAGGAAGAACACUUGUUUCUUCAAGUUGACAACUUGGUCAAGUGAAGAAGAUUGUAGAAAAAGAUUUUGGCGAACUUGAAACUUGAUUUUGGAGACGUGUAUGAAUCGGAAAAGGUCAACAGGUAGACAGAUUUGACUCUUAGAAGCUCCAUCAGCAGUACUGUGGCAGCGCUCCAGUUGUUCCGGAGCCUCAGUUUCUUGGUACUACUUUUGUGUACAUAUUCGGGCACGGUAGAACCGGUCCUUCUUGUAUAUGUAGAUGUACUUUGUUUAGAGGCUCGUAGACAGAUAUGUACAGUCAGAUGUUUUGUA